GUGAACUACAUUGGACUAAAAGGACUUCGAGUGGGCUCAUAGAUCCCAAGAGCCUACAUGACCAGGAAUGAGCAGACAUCUGGCUUCUCUGUGGAGUUUUUCUUAUCACUGAGUGGGGGGGGUUAGACUUAGGCUUUGUCUUCAUGAGCUGUUACAGAAAUGACUCCUCUUGGGUGUGAUGCCUCCCUCUGCCAAGGUGGGCAUCACCCACCCGCUUGCGUGGGAUCACCCAGCUGGAGGUGCUGAGAAGCAGCCCCUGGAUGCUCAAGGAAGAUGUGUUUGAUGCCGUCGUGAGAAGAUGCAGGUGUUUCCUGUUCCCUAUCCUCCUGGGAGACUGUUUCCGGUGAUCAUGCUGAGUGGGUGUGACCCUGAAACCCAGGGCGUGUGAACUGCCUCAGGAGUGACGGUCAUAGAAACCUGGAAGAACCCUGCCCUAGAAAAGUCACGCUGUGUCCCAGGUCAAGGUCUUGGAGCAGGUGGGAUUAGAGACCCAGGUCGACACGGCUGGGUUACCAACAUCCCCUUUUUGCAGGUGCAAAAACUAGGGCCCAGGGAGGUCGAAGAGCUGCCCGUGGUCACACAGCUCUGACGCGGCAGGGCCAGGACUCUACUGCAGGUUUUGCUGACGUCAGGAGACCAGGAAGCCAAGGCUCAGAUCAGUUCCGAUCCAGAGGCUGGUGUCCGAACCCACCUGCUUGUCCAGGGCUCUGGUCUGCUCCUGUAGCUCCUUGACCUCGGCCUGCACCCGGACCCGACACUUCAGCAGAUGACCCGUGUUCUCCAGCCUCUCGCUGUCCCGCAGCCGCUUGACCUGGCUCUGGGCCACGCGGAUCUGCACCUGAAGUUUAUCCCGCACCCCCUCCAGGCGCUGGAUCUCCUCACUGCCCAGGCGGGGAGGUGGAGAGCAAGCCAGCGAGGGGCAGAGUCUCAGAAUCACUAAGGGCCAGACACCCGGCCUGCCCCUUCCCCUCUGGGACCCAGGAGGCGGGCCCCCAACCCCUUUAAGAGCCCCCUCACUCCCCAAGCUCCGGGUCCAGGCACGGGGCUCACAGUUGCUUGUUGAUGCGCUGGUGGACUUCCUUGCUGUAAGCCCGCCUCUCUCCCUCCAUCACUUUGCACUGCCGUCGCAGUCGGCUCAGCUCCCAAUCCGCUGAGGGCAGGACCAGCCAACUGGGCUCAGUAGAGAUCCCGGCCCCAGCCCCUUCCUCUCCAGGGCCUGGGAACUCCGGCUCCCACAAACUGCAGCCGAAAGGCCCACCCAGUCCCCAACACCCCUCUAGCCCUGCACCUCAGUUCCUGUAUCCCUCACGCCUACCUCACCCCCUUGGUACUCCCGGACCCCAAGCUGACCUCCGGGGGAUUUUUCCCCCAAACCCACGUCUACUCCCGGUUUGGGCACACUUCCGCCUUCCCACUAGAGGGCGCUCCCGGAAGGCCUCACGGUCCUCAGGCGCCGGCCACAGAGGAUCUGGAACUUGCGGCCAAGAUCUGGGGACCGCAGUCUUGUUCCCCCUCGCCCCUUCAGCCCCCGUAGCCCAGCAGUCCUCAGUCCUGUCCUCUGGCCUCCUCACUCGCAGCCCAUCCUCCAAGCUCAGGUCUCAUCUUGUCCUGCCGGGACCAUCACCCCAGCCUCCUCCCCAGCCUCCGGGCCUCCCUUCGCAAUCCCGGAAGGUCUUUCUACACCCAGAACGGAGUUCCAGGGCCUGAGAACAAAGCCGCAGGUCCUGGGCCCGGGGUUCAAGGCCCCAUAUGACCUGAGCCUAACCACCUCUCCAGUCUGGGCCACCAGCUAGCUCCCCACCUCCCAAGGCCCAGUGGUUCUCAACCAGUGAUUCUGAGCGCAAGGACAGUUGGCAAUGUCUGGAGACACUUUUGAUUGUCAGGAUGUGCGGACGGGGUGGGACAGGCUGCUCCUGGCAUAUAACGGAUAGAGGUCAGGGAUGUCCUACAAUGCCCAGGACAGCCGCCAUGACUAAAGAAUGAUCUGACUCCAAGCGUCAACUGUGUGGAGGCUUAGAAACCCUGU